UACGUAGGGACAAAGCGUUGUUCGGAUUUACUGGGCGUAAAGGGCGCGUAGGCGGCAAUUCAAGUCAUCUGUGAAAUCUCCGGGCUUAACUCGGAACGGUCAGAUGAUACUGCUUUGCUAGAGUGCGGAAGGGGCAAUCGGAAUUCUCGGUGUAGCGGUGAAAUGCGUAGAUAUCGAGAGGAACACCUGAGGUGAAGACGGGUUGCUGGGCCGACACUGACGCUGAAGCGCGAAAGCCAGGGGAGCAAACGGG
rnacentral:rRNA from 1 species